AGGGUGUCGUGGAAAGGAACUCCCCUCUGGACUUAUGUAUUUAAGAAGCAAAACAUCUAAGCAUUUUAGUCCUAAUACUUUGUAUCUAAUGGAAGUCCUUCAAUUAAUUUCAAUGAGUUUGGAUCAGGACCUUAAAAUAAUAGUUCUCAAAACAUCAGUCUCAGCUGAUACAGGUUUCCAAAAUGUGACUCAGACUUUUGGCACCGUAAAAAUUGCACAAUAUUAUUUCUCAAUACCCCUCCUCCCCAGUCAGGAUCCUGGACAGUUGAAGUCUUGUACCCAGUGAAAACAAGAUGACUGCAAUGUCUAAUGGGCAGAAGAGUGUAUACUUUUACAGAAGUUUUAUAGAGCUGAGGUUGAAGGAAGGACAGCACAUCGUCAACCACAAAUGAGGUUGGAAGAUGUAAUUUUGA